rnacentral:misc_RNA from 1 species
CACGUACUGCGCGAACGUUAUUCGGAAUCACUGGGCUUAAAGGGUGCGUAGGCGGCAUUUCAAGUCAGAUGUGAAAUCUUCCGGCUCAACCGGAAAACUGCAUUUGAAACUGAUUUGCUUGAGUAAGCUAGGGGUGUGCGGAACUGCCAGUGGAGCGGUGAAAUGUGUUGAGAUUGGCAGGAACGCCGGUGGCGAAAGCGGCACACUGGGGCUUAACUGACGCUGAGGCACGAAAGCCAGGGUAGCGAACGGG